UACUAAGUCGGCUUCUUUUGGACGUAAGG
rnacentral:piRNA from 1 species